UCUUAGGCAGUGAUUUGUCCAGGCAAGUACAACUAAUGUCUGCAUACUGAAGGGCAUGGGUCCUUAUGUACGAUCUUAAGGAAUAGAAAGGGUGGACUUGGAGAAGGAAUUUCCUGUCUUUAUUUCUACUCUCAAUGGGAAGAAAGGAAAAAAACCUUCAGAGAACCACUAUCUGAUCUUUAUGAAAGAUGAAAACUCUUGGUUAAAAAUGUGCUAACAUUUAAAAGAGAGGUAAAGAGGCCAGAGGUACUCUUAAGACCAAUGUGCUUUCUCAUUGGAUUGAGUGAUUUACUGAGGACUCUGAUGCAAACAGUCAAGAGUUCCUUAUCUGAUAACUUCAUUAUCAGCUAGUUGUAUCCAACUGCCUCUGCUUCAGUCCAGAUUUCAUUAGCUAUUUUUAAUGAUUUUAACCUUACAGAAACAUGUAAGGUUACACAUGUAUCCUCUAGAAAAGAGUAGAUACCCAUAGGUUCCUGUUAAACCUCUGAAUAUCAGAUAAAAGGGGCCAGCCCUGUCUUAUAUUUCUUGUCCUUAAAAUGAGCAUUGUUUUGUUGUUAUUUUUAGAUGUAAAAUGGGGUAAACUGAGAGAUUAUCAGGUGCGAGGAUUGAAUUGGCUCAUCUCUCUGUAUGAGAAUGGCAUCAAUGGGAUCCUUGCAGAUGAAAUGGUAUGUAUUUGGUUACCUUGAAGCUUGGAAGAUUUUUAUUGUUGUAACAAGAUUGUUUGACAUAAAAUUUGUAGCAAUUAAGAGAGAUAGUUUUGUUUGAUUACAACUAUUUUUCUUAAAGCACUAUAACCCACUGCCUUAGUUGUGUAAGUGACAUGUGAAGAAUUUCCAUCUCUCCAUUAGAGUACAUUUUAAUAUAGUACAUCUUGAGAACUCUGUUGUUUUUGCAAUAAUUUGACUGUUUCUUUUUCCAUUUUAAAAAACAGCCCACAGGGUUUAGUUUCACAAGACAUCUUCUCUUCUGUUCAUUACUUACUAGUUAGUGAAGAUUUUAAUCCUUCUCAAAGUAGUGUUCAAACAAGUGGUUGGGGAAAGUAUGCAGCCAUUAGUACAGUCAAAUGUAUUUCACUUCUGCCUCUGAUAGUUUACUUUGGAAUAUCACAUUUCCUGAGUCAGGAGGUGGUGAUGAUACCUUCCUUAUAGAUUUAUGUGACCUAAGUGUAAACUUACACACACAGUAAAUCUUGUCAUGCUGUCUCACACUCAGCAUUUCCUUUAAAUGUUCCUGUGUAUGAUGGGGCUAUAAGUAUGGGAGAAUGUUUUUAAUUGUUUAAGGAUUAAUUUGAUUAAUGUAAUUAAUUAAAUUUUUUAACGGUUAAUUAUGAUGAAUUUUUUAGGGUUUGGGAAAGACACUUCAAACAAUUUCUCUUCUUGGAUACAUGAAACACUAUAGAAAUAUUCCUGGUCCUCAUAUGGUUUUGGUUCCCAAGUCUACAUUGCACAACUGGAUGAGUGAAUUCAAGAAAUGGGUACCAACACUUAGGUCUGUUUGCUUGAUAGGAGAUAAAGAGCAAAGAGUAAGUUUUUAUAUACUAUGUAGUGGUAUUUUUAUAUUAAAGGAAUUUAAUUUUAGACUAAU
rnacentral:lncRNA from 1 species